rnacentral:sRNA from 1 species
UUCUGCCCUGGGUCCUCCCAGGGAGUUGAUGAUCUGUAGAUGUGACUCCUUCCCGAGACUCAUGGAGCCCUGGGGGGUGAAGGGAACCCCAGAGGUUUUCCGGACAGACUUGAUCACAGCCAUGAAGAUCCCGGACUCAUACCAGCUCAGCCCGGAUGACUACUACAUCCUGGCAGACCCAUGGCGACAGGAAUGGGAGAAAGGUGUGCAGGUGCCUGCCGGGGCAGAGGCCAUCCCAGAGCCCGUAGUGAGGAUCCUCCCACCACUGGAAGGCCCCCCUGCCCAGGCAUCCCCGAGCGGCACCACGCUUGGUGAGGGCUCCCAGCCUGAUUGGCCAGGGGGCAGCCGCUAUGACUUGGAUGAGAUUGAUGCCUACUGGCUGGAGCUCAUCAACUCGGAGCUUAAGGAGAUGGAGAGGCCAGAGCUGGACGAGCUGACAUUAGAGCGUGUGCUGGAGGAGCUGGAGACCCUGUGCCACCAGAAUAUGGCCAGGGCCAUUGAGACGCAGGAGGGGCUGGGCAUCGAGUACGACGAGGAUG